GGGCAUUUGGUCUAGUGGUAUGAUUCUCGCUUUCUGUGUGAGAGGUCCCGAGUUUGAUUCUCGGAAUGUCCC
rnacentral:tRNA from 1 species